GCGACACCCGACCCGAGCGACCUCCCGCCCCGGGCGGGGAUGCACCCAAACGCCUCCUGUUGACACUAAUUGGUCGGUCACGCUGCCGCUCCUACACUCUACUGAGGUAGAGGAUAAGAUCCAUCGUACUCGCCGAAGGGCGACACCUCGUGGUAGAACUCAAUGAUUGUCAAUUCUGAGUUUUCGGCCUCUAGAGAAAACUACAGGUUCCAGAAUGCAUCUUGGCUCCAGUUCUACAAGCCGGAGGUGGGAGCAGGAUCCCAAAGCGACUUCAGUCAGGCAACACUACUGCUUCCUCGGAAGAGCCCUAAAGUCACCCCUGGCCAAUGAGGCGCGCCAUAGGCUUGUGUAUGGAAUUGAUGAGGCUAAAGCUCCUGCAUUGUUUGCCUGCACAGCACGGAUCUUUUUCAGUAACCAGUGAAAAUCAACGGAUCAGAUUCCUAAUGUAAAAACACGUUGUUUUGCAGACCUUGGAGGUUCUGGAAUCUGGAACUCUUGAGCAGAAAUGAAUUGAUAGGGAGCAGGGAGCAGGGUGAGGAGCAGAACUAAUGCAGUUCAGGCCGGAGACAUUCGUGAAAAACUGUGUACACAUGGAAAAUUUCUGGAAGAAUAGACAAAUUCGUAUGAGUAUUUACACUUUUUCUGCUAUUUGAGUUGUGCUUCCAACAGGUAUUAUUUCUUCAAUUUCAAACGUCUUAGUUUUGCUAGAUGGGUCCACGCCUGUAAUUCCUAGCACUCUGGGAAGCUGAGGGAGGAUGAUCACAAAUGUGAGCCCACCCUGCAAAAUUUGGUGAAUUAAUGAGAUCUUUGAAAAAAAAAAAAAUUUAAAAAGGACUGAGCAUGUAACUCAAUGUGAUGGUCUUGGAUUCAAUCCCCAGGAUCAAAAAAAUAAAGCCUUAAUUUUUAGGGA